GCGAAGGGUUUAGCUGCUGCUCGCAAUACCUAUGGUUCAGACACGGAACGCCCUUCAUAUCACGGAAUGCCCCUAAUAUCAGUCACGGAACGCCCUCUAAUGUCAGUUUCGAUAUAUCCAUCAUUGUUUUUGUCGGCGCUCGAAGGACUGGUGGACGUUAAAUAAAUCUUUAUGAAAGCUUUUUGUGGAAAAAAGAACAAGACAGAGUGAGUUGGAAAUCAAGAUGACAGAAGACGUGCCAUAAAUUAGAAGAUGGUGGUGUCCUCUCUUACUUUGGAAAGCCAGCAUUAAAGACAGCCGUCUUCAGUUUGCACACGGGAAGAAGGACAUUCUGUGUACCAAAGCUGCUCCUGUUAGGGGUUGCCACAACGGAUC